rnacentral:rRNA from 1 species
AGUGAACGCUGGCGGUAGGCCUAACACAUGCAAGUCGAACGGCAGCACAGUAAGAGCUUGCUCUUACGGGUGGCGAGUGGCGGACGGGUGAGGAAUACAUCGGAAUCUACUUUUUCGUGGGGGAUAACGUAGGGAAACUUACGCUAAUACCGCAUACGACCUACGGGUGAAAGCAGGGGAUCUUCGGACCUUGCGCGAUUGAAUGAGCCGAUGUCGGAUUAGCUAGUUGGCGGGGUAAAGGCCCACCAAGGCGACGAUCCGUAGCUGGUCUGAGAGGAUGAUCAGCCACACUGGAACUGAGACACGGUCCAGACUCCUACGGGAGGCAGCAGUGGGGAAUAUUGGACAAUGGGCGCAAGCCUGAUCCAGCCAUACCGCGUGGGUGAAGAAGGCCUUCGGGUUGUAAAGCCCUUUUGUUGGGAAAGAAAAGCAGCAGGUUAAUACCCCGCUGUUCUGACGGUACCCAAGGAAUAAGCACCGGCUAACUUCGUGC